rnacentral:rRNA from 1 species
AUUGAACGCUGGCGGCAGGCCUAACACAUGCAAGUCGAGCGAGCGGCGGACGGGUGAGUAAUGUCUGGGAAACUGCCUGAUGGAGGGGGAUAACUCCUGGAAACGGUAGCUAAUACCGCAUACCAUCAGAUGUGCCCAGGUGGGAUUAGCUAGUGGGUGGGGUAACGGCUCACCUAGGCGACGAUCCCUAGCUGGUCUGAGAGGAUGACCAGCCACACUGGAACUGAGACACGGCCCAGACUCCUACGGGAGGCAGCAGUGGGGAAUAUUGGACAAUGGGCGAAAGCCUGAUGGAGCCAUGCCGCGUGUGUGAAGAAGGCCUUCGGGUGGUAAAGCACUGUCAGCGGGGAGGCGUUACCCGAAGAAGAAGCAACGGCUAACUACGUGCCAGCAGCCGCGGUAAUUC